AAUUGGCCUUCAAAUAAAUUGUUAGGAUAUGUUUCUGAAAAAUGGUAAUUUGUUAUGUUACUAGUGCUAAUGGUUUUGAGUGGAAAAGUAACUAAUGAGGAGUUUAUACAACAAAGUAGUCGAUUUGUACAUUGAAUGUCAUUUACAAAUGAUGUAGGAUCAAAUUGAAGCAGACGAAGGUUGGUUGUGACUACUUGAGGCGGCGAUGUGAAAUUCUAACAGAGGAAAACAAGCGGUUGCAGAAGGAAGUGAACGACCUAAGAGCAUUGAAGCUCUCCCCACACUUUUACAUGAACAAGAACCCUCCGACCACCCUUACCGUGUGUCCUCAGUGCGAACAUGUGGCUGUCUUGUCUUCAUCAUCCUCAGCUACUCAACAACCUAAUCUGGAUGCGGCCCACCACCAACGCCCAAUGCCUAUGCCCGUAUCGAAGUUUCAAUCUUAAAAUAAGUGUAAAAUGGUAAUCGGUUCUCUCCGAUUUUGCCAUCUAAAACUAGGAUGAGGGGAUCUGAAAGUCUGCUUUAUAUGGAGAAAGACUUGUAAAGGAUGGUCUAGAUAGGUUGGUGCUUAUAGAUUGAUAGGGUUAUUUAAAGAGAACCCUAAUUCUCUUUUUUGUGUUUUUAUCAAUAGAAGAAUGGUUAUGUUAGGCAAAAGUUGGAUUUAAUGUUGGAGAUGGAGGUAACAUUGUUGAAACUUUUUGCUUGUUUAAUAGAAUAAUAACUUAUAAUAUAGUUAGUUUAGUAAGAGGCUUGUGAACAAGGUUAUUAUGGUUACAACAUUUUUUAAGAAUGUUUUUAAUGCAAAAUGAUUAGAUUCUUACUCUUAGGUUGCUUAGGAACCUAAUAAUGUUAUUCAAUACCAUUGAUGUGAAGCAUUAAUUUAGGUAGCAAUUACAUGUCAUUGAAUGAUAGCAAUGUCACAUGAUUCAUUUAAUUGAACUUAUCAAGUAUACUUAAUAUGUCCUACACUAUCUAAUCGCAUGGUUGUACAUCCUAACUUUUGCCAUACAUGGCAUACAAUUCUUCGACUUACAAAUCUCGACAUAAUCAUCUUUUUUCUGUUCGUAGCGGCUGAGGUCCUUGUGGAUUGAAUUCAUCCAAAUGUACAUUAAAAUGGUGAGUGCUGUGCGCAUGUCUAAAUUUUUUAACAGGGCAACGCAAAUAUUAUUUUAAUGUCUAUCGGACUUCACUUAAAAGUAUCUUCGUUAUUAGACAAGUAUAAAAAGUUGACGAUCAAGCUGUUAGUAUUGACAGGUUAAUGUAUUUAGCUAUCCAUAAAUUGGUGAAAAUGAAGAAGUAUCUCUUUUAUUGAUAUUUCAUUAGAAUCAUUCAUUUGAAAUGCACGUGGACAGUGUACCCAAUAGGGCUUACUUGGAAAGUUGCCCCGAUCAAAACCCAUUGUACCCAACGCCUUUUUUAUUAUAAAAUUUUUUGAAAAAAUAAAGAAGUUCAAGCUCGACAAAUUUACACCUAUAAUAUGAGAAUUAGAUAUUUUUUUGAUGAGGUUCGAACGGUGCUUGAAGAAACAUUCAAGCAAUAUAAUACUCUCAGCCCGGUUAGUGAUAUUUUGCUAAAUAUUUCAGUCGGUCAGGGUAUUUUUGUGUGCUAAUCAUUGCUAAUUAAAUUGAAAAGCACAGAAGGAGGCACAAGUUUUUAAACCAUUGGUUUUGUGAGGUUUGUAGAAGCAAAGGUUGGCUUUGGCGAAAGAGUUGAAUCUGAGGCCUAGACAAGUGGAGGUGUGGUUUCAGAAUAGAAGGGCAAGGUUAGUUAUUAAUCAACCAAGUCAAGGGUAUAAUUGGCCUUCAAAUAAAUUGUUAGGAUAUGUUUCUGAAAAAUGGUAAUUUGUUAUGUUACUAGUGCUAAUGGUUUUGAGUGGAAAAGUAACUAAUGAGGAGUUUAUACAACAAAGUAGUCGAUUUGUACAUUGAAUGUCAUUUACAAAUGAUGUAGGAUCAAAUUGAAGCAGACGAAGGUUGGUUGUGACUACUUGAGGCGGCGAUGUGAAAUUCUAACAGAGGAAAACAAGCGGUUGCAGAAGGAAGUGAACGACCUAAGAGCAUUGAAGCUCUCCCCACACUUUUACAUGAACAAGAACCCUCCGACCACCCUUACCGUGUGUCCUCAGUGCGAACAUGUGGCUGUCUUGUCUUCAUCAUCCUCAGCUACUCAACAACCUAAUCUGGAUGCGGCCCACCACCAACGCCCAAUGCCUAUGCCCGUAUCGAAGUUUCAAUCUUAAAAUAAGUGUAAAAUGGUAAUCGGUUCUCUCCGAUUUUGCCAUCUAAAACUAGGAUGAGGGGAUCUGAAAGUCUGC
rnacentral:lncRNA from 1 species